AGUCACAGCCAUAUCACCCUGCAGCCCAAGACCGGUCACUCACUGUAGGUAAACAGGGCUGAGCCUGGUUAGUACCAGGAAAGGAGACCACAUGGGAUAAGUAGGUUGCUAUUGAAA
rfam:Danio rerio chromosome 7, GRCz11 reference primary assembly.